GAUGAACGCUGGCGGCGUGCCUAAUACAUGCAAGUCGAGCGAACAGACGAGGAGCUUGCUCCUCUGACGUUAGCGGCGGACGGGUGAGUAACACGUGGAUAACCUACCUAUAAGACUGGGAUAACUUCGGGAAACCGGAGCUAAUACCGGAUAAUAUAUUGAACCGCAUGGUUCAAUAGUGAAAGACGGUUUUGCUGUCACUUAUAGAUGGAUCCGCGCCGCAUUAGCUAGUUGGUAAGGUAACGGCUUACCAAGGCAACGAUGCGUAGCCGACCCGAGAGGGUGAACGGCCACACUGGAACUGAGACACGGUCCAGACUCCUACGGGAGGCAGCAGUAGGGAAUCCUCCGCAAUGGGCGAAAGCCUGACGGAGCAACGCCGCGUGAGUGAUGAAGGUCUUCGGAUCGUAAAACUCUGUUAUUAGGGAAGAACAAAUGUGUAAGUAACUAUGCACGUCUUGACGGUACCUAAUCAGAAAGCCACGGCUAACUACGUG
rnacentral:rRNA from 1 species